rnacentral:snRNA from 1 species
GGUUGUGAGGGCGAUCUGACUGCAACAUCUGUCACCCCCGCUGGUCACCGCAGCCCAUCCGGCUGAUCCGGCUGGCGAGGCCAGUGUCCCCUUCCUCCUUCACCGCUCCACGAGCGAGCGUGCUCCUGAAGCUGCACACUGGGUCCGACAGAGCACAGCACCACCGAGGAGCAGCGCCAUGCCCUCUAGCAAGGACACGCGAGCAGCUGGGCUCCUCGGCUAGAGCCCCCACGAGCUCUGAAUGUACUUACAGAUUCCAAAGGAACCAAAUUUUAAAAAUUCAAUUAUAUGGAACUACAAAACAUAGGAUGACUUUAUCUUUCUUAUUU